rnacentral:misc_RNA from 1 species
GAUGAAGAACGUAGCGAAAUGCGAUAAGUAAUGUGAAUUGCAGAAUUCAGUGAAUCAUCGAAUCUUUGAACGCACAUUGCGCCCCCUGGUAUUCCGGGGGGCAUGCCUGUCCGAGCGUCAUUACAACCCUCAAGCUCAGCUUGGUGUUGGGCCCCGCCGCCCCGGCGGGCCCUAAAGUCAGUGGCGGUGCCGUCCGGCUCCGAGCGUAGUAAUUCUUCUCGCUCUGGAGGUCCGGUCGUGUGCUCGCCAGCAACCCCCAAUUUUUUAAGGUUGACCUCGGAUCAGGUAGGAAUACCCGCUGAACUUAAGCAUAUCAAUAAGCGGAGGA